rnacentral:rRNA from 1 species
AUUGAACGCUGGCGGCAUGCCUUACACAUGCAAGUCGAACGGCAGCACGGGAGCUUGCUCCUGGUGGCGAGUGGCGAACGGGUGAGUAAUACAUCGGAACGUACCCAGGAGUGGGGGAUAACGUAGCGAAAGUUACGCUAAUACCGCAUAUUCUGUGAGCAGGAAAGCGGGGGAUCGCAAGACCUCGCGCUCUUGGAGCGGCCGAUGUCGGAUUAGCUAGUUGGUGAGGUAAAAGCUCACCAAGGCGACGAUCCGUAGCAGGUCUGAGAGGAUGAUCUGCCACACUGGUACUGAUACACGGCCCAGACUCCUACGGGAGGCAGCAGUGGGGAAUUUUGGACAAUGGGGGCAACCCUGAUCCAGCCAUGCCGCGUGAGUGAAGAAGGCCUUCGGGUUGUAAAGCUCUUUCGGCGGGGAAGAAAUGGCAACGGCUAAUAUCCGUUGUUGAUGACGGUACCCGCAUAAGAAGCACCGGCUAACUACGUGCCAGCCGCCGCGGUAA